rnacentral:lncRNA from 1 species
UAAUCUUCAGAUUUCCCUGAGUGGAGAAAAAAGUAAAUUCAGAGUUUCUGUAUCUUCUUUGUUGCUCAAGAUCACAAAUUAAUAAGGGGCAGAAGUAGGACUCAAACCCAGGCCCACAGGUAUCUAAUUCACUGGUCUUUCCUCACCCUACCCUCCUCCCUGCCUCAUUCUUCUCCCUGUCUUGCAGUCACGCUACUCUUUGCCAAAGUCUGGAGAUGAUUUUCAGAGGAAUCUACCCUGAAGGAGAAAUAUACUUUGAUUUCCAAUUUGAUUGAAUGUACAGCUAAAUUAACUUGCUGGAGAAAAUCUAUUUUCAGUGUAUAUUUUUAACAAUUAACAAACAUAGUGCAUAUGUUAGAAACAAAAAAUAAACCAUAAACAAAGACAAUGGAAGAGGUGAAGUAAACAGGCCUUUCUCUCUCUCUAACCCAAUUGGGAGUCCAUUGCUAUCCAUCUUAUUAAGGAUGGUUACAGAGAGGAGACUCAUCCAUAUUUUUUUGUCUCUCUCUCUGUCUGGAGACAGUUUUACACAUGCUUUGCUUAAUGGACAUUUCCCCAUGGUCAAAAUUAUGUUCCAUUCACUGUCAUUUCCCCA